rnacentral:rRNA from 1 species
AAGACUGGUGCUUGCACUAGUCAGAUGAGUUGCGAACGGGUGAGUAACGCGUAGGUAACCUACCUUAUAGCGGGGGAUAACUAUUGGAAACGAUAGCUAAUACCGCAUGACAAUUAAGUACUCAUGUACUAAAUUUAAAAGGAGCAAUUGCUUCACUAUGAGAUGGACCUGCGUUGUAUUAGCUAGUUGGUGAGGUAACGGCUCACCAAGGCCACGAUACAUAGCCGACCUGAGAGGGUGAUCGGCCACACUGGGACUGAGACACGGCCCAGACUCCUACGGGAGGCAGCAGUAGGGAAUCUUCGGCAAUGGGGGCAACCCUGACCGAGCAACGCCGCGUGAGUGAAGAAGGUUUUCGGAUCGUAAAGCUCUGUUGUUAGAGAAGAACGGUAAUGGGAGUGGAAAAUCCAUUACGUGACGGUAACUAACCAGAAAGGGACGGCUAACUACGUGCCAGCAGCCGCGGUAAUACGUAGGUCUCGAGCGUUGUCCGGAUUUAUUGGGCGUAAAGCGAGCGCAGGCGGUUAUUUAAGUCUGAAGUUAAAGGCCGUGGCUCAACCAUGGUUCGCUUUGGAAACUGGAUAACUUGAGUGCAGAAGGGGAGAGUGGAAUUCCAUGUGUAGCGGUGAAAUGCGUAGAUAUAUGGAGGAACACCGGUGGCGAAAGCGGCUCUCUGGUCUGUAACUGACGCUGAGGCUCGAAAGCGUGGGGAGCAAACAGGAUUAGAUACCCUGGUAGUCCACGCCGUAAACGAUGAGUGCUAGGUGUUAGGCCCUUUCCGGGGCUUAGUGCCGCAGCUAACGCAUUAAGCACUCCGCCUGGGGAGUACGACCGCAAGGUUGAAACUCAA